AAUGAAGUCGAGCGGAAGAUGGGAGCUUGCUCCCUGAUGUUAGCGGCGGACGGGUGAGUAACACGUGGGUAACCUGCCUGUAAGACUGGGAUAACUCCGGGAAACCGGGGCUAAUACCGGAUGCUUGUUUGAACCGCAUGGUUCAAACAUAAAAGGUGGCUUCGGCUACCACUUACAGAUGGACCCGCGGCGCAUUAGCUAGUUGGUGAGGUAACGGCUCACCAAGGCAACGAUGCGUAGCCGACCUGAGAGGGUGAUCGGCCACACUGGGACUGAGACACGGCCCAGACUCCUACGGGAGGCAGCAGUAGGGAAUCUUCCGCAAUGGACGAAAGUCUGACGGAGCAACGCCGCGUGAGUGAUGAAGGUUUUCGGAUCGUAAAGCUCUGUUGUUAGGGAAGAACAAGUACCGUUCGAAUAGGGCGGUACCUUGACGGUACCUAACCAGAAAGCCACGGCUAACUACGUGCCAGCAGCCGCGGUAAUACGUAGGUGGCAAGCGUUGUCCGGAAUUAUUGGGCGUAAAGGGCUCGCAGGCGGUUCCUUAAGUCUGAUGUGAAAGCCCCCGGCUCAACCGGGGAGGGUCAUUGGAAACUGGGGAACUUGAGUGCAGAAGAGGAGAGUGGAAUUCCACGUGUAGCGGUGAAAUGCGUAGAGAUGUGGAGGAACACCAGUGGCGAAGGCGACUCUCUGGUCUGUAACUGACGCUGAGGAGCGAAAGCGUGGGGAGCGAACAGGAUUAGAUACCCUGGUAGUCCACGCCGUAAACGAUGAGUGCUAAAUGUUAGGAGGUUUCCGCCCCUUAAUGCUGCAGGUAACAGAUUAAGCACUCCCCGGGGAGUAGGGGCAAGACUCACAACUC
rnacentral:rRNA from 1 species